AUACGGAGGGUGCAAGCGUUAUCCGGAUUCAUUGGGUUUAAAGGGUCCGCAGGCGGGAAAAUAAGUCAGUGGUGAAAGCCUACAGCUCAACUGUAGAACUGCCAUUGAUACUGUUUUUCUUGAGUAUAGAUGAAGUGGGCGGAAUAUAUCAUGUAGCGGUGAAAUGCAUAGAUAUGAUAUAGAACACCGAUUGCGAAGGCAGCUCACUAAACUAUUACUGACGCUCAGGGACGAAAGCGUGGGGAGCGAACAGGAUUAGAAACCCGAGUAGUCC
rnacentral:rRNA from 1 species